GUACGCGGGGGCCGGCAAGNGCGGGCGCCUCGUGGUUGGAUGAAGCAAUAAUUUACUACUCCCCCACCCAGGGUGAGCGUUUCCUAACUGUUGCCUCGGCUGGAUCUCUGCCCCGGGUGCGUCGCAGCCCCGGACCAAGGCGCCCGCCGGAGGACCAACCAAAACUCUUAUUGUAUACCCCCUCGCGUGUUUUUUUAUAAUCUGAGCCUUCUCGGCGCCUCUCGUAGGCGUUUCUAAUAUGAAUCAAAACUUUCAACAACGGAUCUCUUGGUUCUGGUAUUUAUGAAUAACGCAACAUGAAGCAGAAACUGAUGCUGAUUGACGAUUUGUAAGACUACUCGAAACGAUAAACUUUUGUUUCACCACUGAAGAAUUUGGCAACCCUUCAGCUUUGAUUUUUGAUGUUUUUAUUAUAAUUUAUGGGAUGGGGAUUGGGGAUUUUCCCUUCCACCGGCCGGCCGCCGUAGCCAUUAGAACAUUAAAGUGUGGUCUUAUAUAUAUGGAUCGAGGGAUUAAAAUCUUUGAAUGUUUUAUAAGAAUAUCGACUUUGUAAUAUCAACAUCUUUUCCCGACUGUUACCGAGAGUUUGGCUAUUAGGAUUAUAGGCUAUCCGCUUUGGUGAAAUUGAGUGACACGUUAUAACUAAAAAAAAAAAGGGAUCAUUUUUUUUUCAAUCUUUAUUUUGGGGGAAAAUAAUUUUUCUUGGGGAACCAAAUAAUAUCCUUUAAACUUUCUCAAAAAUGUUUUGGUAUACCUCCCCAUUCCUUAAGAACCAAAAAAUUGUAGAGGUUUUAAAAAAAUCGGGCCAUUGGAAUCCCUUUUCCAUUCUCGACAAUAAAAAAAAAAAAGGUUUUUAUAAUUUCAAACAAGCGCUUAUGGGGAAUUGUGACUGCUCGUAUAAAGGAAGGGAGGAACCGCGUGGUCUNNUGCUUCUUGUGCCUUGAGAAUGUAAUUCAUCUUCUUUUCCGCCCUAAAUUUUGNUUAACCUUUUUCUUCCUUG
rnacentral:misc_RNA from 1 species